rnacentral:tRNA from 1 species
GAAUGAGUGUAGUUUAGUGGUAGAUCGUCCGCUUUCUAUGCGGAAGGUCUAGGGUUCGACUCCGUUCUCGUCCA